AGCUAAGUGGCUCAGUGGAUAGAGCACCAGGCUUGGAGUCAGGAUGACCUGAAUUCAAAUUUGGCCUUAGAUA
rnacentral:tRNA from 1 species